CUCUGAAGAAUGCAGCAGCAGGAGGAGGAAAAAGAGAGGAGAGACAUGAAAAGAUGAGAUCUUUUAGGAUUUUUUUUUUUGCGUGUGACUUGCUCUCCCAGCCGUGGACAGUGACGUGGGUGAGAAGUUGUUACCCAAUCGCGUCUCUCCCCUUUUCUCUCUCCCUUUUUUUCACUCAAGCAAAGUUAAAGAGAGAGGGGAAGCCGAAGGGAAAGGACACCCAGCAAAGUCAGACCGGUGAGCGUGAGGAGGGGGGGAUCCCUCAUUCCUGAGCCGGGAGGAAACUCACCCAGACGGGUAAGUAAAGAGGAAAAAAAGGGAGAGAGUGUGUGAUAGAGGGGGGCAAUGCUCCCAGAGAGUUGAUGGAUAUCAUAUGUUAGAUGUUAAAGCUUAGGAAACUGCUCCCAGAUCAGUUUGGGAGCAGGAAACGCAGUCAGCUGAGCGUGUUUGUGAAAGUUUGAGCGUCAGGAUGAUCUUUACUCCAUGAGCCGGUGGGUGUCACGCUGUGGGAGUUUGGGGUAGCGUUACCUCACAGAAGAGCUGAUUCACUGUUACAUAGCCGGCUUGUGUGUGUGUGUGUGUGUGUGGAUCACACACUCUUUGAGGGGCUUAUUACAGUUCAAGGAUUAACUGAGAGGAACAAUGUAUGCUAUCUGUGCGUAAAAAUAGGUCUAAUCUGCAGUUUUUUUCUUCACUUCCUCCCUGUCACGCUGUUUUCUCCCCCCCCCCCUCUCGUGCUCUGACACAGAUAGCACAGUCCACUCUUGCAGCUCAGCAGCAGAGGGCAUGAAUGAACGGGGUGGAGGGUGAGGGAGGUGAUGAGGAAGGAGGAAGGAGAGGGGGGUGGAUGCAUGUAGUAUCAUACAGCACGGACAGCGCAGUGUGGCUUCUUUAUGAAUGGACGUGGCAGCCGCGUGAUGUGAUUGGCUGAGAGCAGAGUGACGAGUCAUGACUGCAAGAGCCCGAGUGUGUGGAUUCAUUUUAAAGAGAGCGUGUGUGUGUGUGUUUCAGGGGGGAAAAUGUGUGUGUUAGUGGGACACAGAGAGAGUGUUUUUGUGUGAUUCAGUCCUGGUGGUUCUGGGUUACAUGUGUUUGUCUAAAGGGGGCUUAGUCACUGGCUCAACAGUGGGGUGUGUGUCUUAAAAUCUGGACUUUUAAAAGCGGUGGCGGUCUGCCCGGCUGUUGUUCCUCUUCAGAUGAGCUCCCACUCGCUCCCACUCGCUCUGACUAAGACCACGCUCGCUCCAGCUCUCAUUACUCUUACUCACUUGUCAUGUAAUCAGAGGGCAGGUCUCCAGACUUCAUGCAGUAAUAUCACUGCUGAAUCACUCGCUGAACUCGUGAAACUGUAAUGUCUUCUGCGUGACAUUUACUUUUUUGGAUUUCCGUUCAAUAAUUUAAGGGAAAAGUGGACACCAAAAUUAUCUGUAAUCACCUCUAACUCUCAAAGAGAUCCAGGGACUGAGUGUGUCAAAGUACAAGUGUGUAUAUCACCAGUAAUAGUCACUUAUUACAAAUAAUAAAACACAUGCGAAACUUUUUUAUGCAAUAAUAAAGUAAAACAGAAAUUAAUUUUUGUUACUAAAUCAUGAAAAACAAGUGAUUCAUCCAUUCAGAAAUGAUGCCAAGUGCUUCUCUGGUGAGAUCUGAUGUUUGAAGAAUGAAUGAAAAUUAAGUUAUUUUUCUCUCAUUUCUCAUUUCUCUGAACUGAUUAGUCACUGCAUGACUUUUUAAUUUUUGCAUGUCGCAUUAUUUACUUUGCACAUGUAAACACCUGAGUUAGAGAAUGACAGUUUGCAACUUUUAUAGCAGCUUAUUUGAUGGUUCAAGUCAUGAAACUGAAUUAAAAAAAAACAUUAAAAGUUCAUAGAAGAAUGAGUUUUCCACCUCUCUCUUUUCUUUAUCUUCCAUACUUACUGAGGGUAUUUUAAGUGUUUUUAGUUGGGUUGUAUUUAAGAGAGGUUCAUUUAGGACAAGUUGCUGCAUUACUUUUUAUUUUUGAACAAGUUGAAUUAUUUGAAAUACUUUAAAGUCAAUAAUUGUGUACAUGUAAACACCUGUGUUGCAGAAUGACAGUUUGCAACUUAAAGCAACUUUUAUAGGAGCUUAUUUGAUGGUUCAAGUCAUGAAACUGAAUUUAAAAAACAAAAGUUCAUAUGAGAAUGAGUUUUCCACCUCUCUCUUUUCUUUGUCUUUAUUUACUUUUACUGUACUUACUGAGGGUAUUUUAAGGUUGUAUUUAAAAGAGGUUGUUCAGUUAGGACAAGUUGCUGCAUGACUUUUUAUUUUUGCACAAGUUGAAUUAUUUUGAAUACUUUAAAGUCAAUAAUUGUGUACAUGUAAACACCUGCAUUGCAGAAUAAGAAUUUGUGAGUUGAAUGGAACUUUUAAAGUGGAUUUUAGUAAUGUUAAAAAUUAUCAAACAGGGUAGAGUUAUUGAAAAAAAAUUAACUGAGAGUGAUAAGAUAUCUUGGCAGUCUUUUAUUGCACUUAAAGUAUUUUAACUGAUUUCAGUGGUGUUGUGAUUAAGGGAUGUUGUUAUUUAUCUAAUGUCUACUCACAUGUUGAUGCAGGACUUUUUAUUUAGAGUCAACAAUUUUGCACGUUAACAGAUAAGCAGAAAAAUGACGGUUUUCAGGUUGAAUCUUUUUUUGUAAAAGUUAAAAUUGUUGUACAGAAUGAAACACAUUUAAAGAUUUAUACAAGACUGAUCAUGUUUUAGCCGAAACAUUUUUGCCUUUACUUGGUGGGAUAGCUUCAGAGGGAAAUAAGACGCCCAGGUGGUACUUUUUAACUUUCCUUUAAGUAUUUUAAAGAUUUUAGUAGGACUGUUUUUGAGAAAGGUUGUUUUAAGUGUUUAAACGGUUUUAUUUUAAAACAACCAAAUUGAGAAACAAAUUGCCUCUUUUUUUUCAAAUUGCUGAUUCUACUACCAAGUUAAAAUCAUAAAUUAUGAACCAUAAUUACUCAGAAGUGUAGUGUGCAGUGGCAAUAUGAAAUAAAAGUCCAUCUGUCUGUUUGAAUAAGUGUUUUUGUUUUGUAAAAUUUGAAUUAUCCUUUUGCACCCUCACGCUUCUGCAGCUGCACAGAAUGGACAUAUAGUGACAUUCAUGUUUUUAUAUUGAGUGAAUUACAGUGUGAAUUGCACUGGUUGGGAGAUGAAGAAAAAGGUUGUUGUUGUGCACAAAAUAACUCGCACUGAUCAACAUUUUUGAUCAUAAAAAUUUGUCUUCAAAGGCCACUGUAGCUUCACUGAUGAAAGUGGUGAGCAAGGGAGCAUCUCACUCUCGAAGAUCACUAAAUAUUCACGUCUGUUCACUGUUUUUUAAGAGUCAUGGUAAUUUUGCAGAGUUACUGAGGUAUUUCAGUAUUUCAUUCACUUUUGUCAAAUUCUUUUUAUCAAGCUUGAACAUAUAAAAGGACUUCUUUGCGUAUUUUUCUUUGUAUAAUUCAAGUUUCAAGUCAGCUGAAGCACAGGGGUUCUGUUGCUCUCAUUAUUUCUUCUGUUUAGCACCAAAACCUCAAGAAUAAUUCCGCUUUUCUGUAAACAACUUUGCAGCAAACCUCAGUCUGUUCUGACAUCGUUACACAUGGUGGUUUGAGGGUCACGAUAAUCGUAUGGUUCCUAAAGAAGUGCAGUACUGUUUGACUCUUUUAGCAGCUCUUCCUUCACAUUUUUACAGAAAUACUGUAAAUUUUAUUGUUUCUUUUCCUGUCAAUUUUCCUGCUCACUUGCAACUACAUUUAUGUUUCUUCUUGUGUCACUAUUCUGCAUUAAAACACUGGAAAUGUUCAUGUUGUGUGAACCAGCUUCACAACAAGACUCAAACCACAGGACUCAAGACUCUUAAGAAUAUUGUAUUCUUACUAUGAUAUUGUAUUUAUGUAUAUUUAAGGCAGUCUUUAUAUCUCAUAAUUGAUCAAAGUGAAGAUUACAGUUUAAGUUUAUCUAUUUGUAUUUUAUGUCCCAAAACUAGUGAUGAUGUUAGUUCAGGCAGGCCAGGAAAACUAGUUAACCCACCUUAAACCUGGCGCUUAGCUGCUACUCUCUAUCUCAAGCUUUGGCAUUUCCUGUAUGCAUGUAGGCAGCUGUACAUGGGGGUCUUUGCUGCUGCUCUCUCUGCCUCAGGUUUUGGUUCUUCAGACCUCCAUGCUUAACACGCAUGCACAGCUGGAUCUGUUUCCUUGUUUUACUGCCACUGAAUGACAGCCGCUCCUUUAACUCCACCAAAGUUUACUGCAGUUUCACGUGGAACACUUUCUUCUUCACUGCUAGAAACUCCAGCAUAAUGGUAGUUUAUGGCUCUAGUGUGUGUCUAAAUGUGUUAGUGUGUGUCUGUGUGAGUGAGGAGUUGUGAUAAGGUGCGUAACUGUCACAUCAUAGCGCAGAGGAUCUAUCAGCUCUUAUCGGGCGGCGUUUCCGGCUGAGUUUGAGAUAGGAGGACGGAUUGGCGGUGAGAUGCAUCGCAGGUAUCUUGAUGAGGGUGGAGAUUAAAUUCCCAGGUGGAGAUUAGCUGGAAUCUGCCCCCUUGCCUUAUCAACCUGCCGACACAGAAUGAACUCUGACCCCGCAGCCUGCUUGGCAGGAAGUAGAGUUGACCUCGAUCCAGGUUCCAAUUACACUUCCGGGACAAAAAUCAUGCGUUUGUGAAACACGUGAACCAUUCCUUUAAAAUCUAAUCAUAACUAUGAGAAAGUUUACACAGGUGACAUGAGUUUAUGAAACACUUAUUUGAAAGAGUGCUUCAUUCCCUUUUUGAAGGAUCACAUUUUAUUGAAUAAGGACACAAUAACUGGAUUUUUAUGUACUUUUAAAAAUGGAGCAUUAGAAUGAAGUCGAAAACUUAUCGAGAAAAUCCAACAUCGAGCAUGAUUUCGUGAUUAUUUCCUAACUACAUUUACCCAAAAACCUACUUAAUUUUAAAUUUUUGCAAUGACUGAUGCUUUGUUUUAUUUCAUUUAAUUAAUUUUUUAAAUGCUUAUUUGUUCCUGUAGUUUAGGAACUUUUUCAGCUUACUCCCUGCGAUAGAGAACUUUUUCUAGCCUCUCAUAACUUUUCUUUCAGACUUAUCAUCGAAGUAUUUUUUAACACAAGGCAUUCUACAGAGUCUGUAUAAAGAUCGGUGGAUGAACAGAUGAUUCAGUGAGGUGGGACAGAUUACAGGGACACAAGUCACCACACUGACUGAACCUCAUUCUCUGCUCUGAAUGAAGCACACACACAGAAACACACACACUCACACACACUUGGGCUGCAGUAAGUCAGGCGUUGGGUAAAGUUUCUUAAAGUGGGUUAAGCGGCACAAGAAGGAUCUUAACCAUCACUUGACUCAUUCCUUCUUUUCUUUGCCCGACUUUCCUUUUCACAUGACUCGUCUUUGUUUAUCCAGCAACAAGUCACUCUCACAAGUCCGUCAUUCAGCGGCAGAUUGUGCAGUUAAGAGCUUAGCCGCAUAACUCAGAUGUCACAGGGCUGAAAGCAGUUUGGUUCAGCCCGUUAAUGUGUGUGCGUCCUCUGUGUGUGCGUGUGUCUGUGUACUCAGGAACACUCGUUCCAACGGUGUGCUAACCACACACACCUGGCCUGUUUCCUCCCAUGCUCAUAUAUGGGCAAAGCUUCCCCUACCUGGGCCCCACUCUGGAUUCCAAUAAGUGGCAGUAUGUGUGUGUGUGAGCGUGCGUGAAAGAGGCUGUGGAGACGGAUGCACGUCAUGGAAAACCAGGAUCAAUGGGCACGGCCGCAGAGCUGCGUUUUUAAGGUGUUCCUUUUGUUUUCCAAAGGUAAUCAGUGAACACAAUGACUCAGCCGGGCCGAGGCGGGCUGACUAUUCAGAGUGUCCGCAGCAAGACGACGUCAGAGAGAUGCAGCCGUCAUAUAACUAUUAUAGGAGAUAAUCCAAAUAUGAAGCAGGUACAAGAAACUCCCUAUAGAUCAGAUUUUAGAUCAAGAAUCCAGACAUGUCUUUGGUCAAUCAGCAGGAGCACUGAGCCAAAAGAGAUAUAGUCAACUGCUUUUGACUUUAUUUGAAAUAUUUUCUUUACCCUUCAUCCAAAGAGACUCUCUAGAGACUCCAAAAUACAUAAACUCAAAUUGUGCUGCUUGUAUUAAAGUUAAUCCAGCGAUGAAGCAGGUAGGAGAAACUUUAUUGUUAGAUAUUAGAUCAGGAAUCCAGCACUUAAUAGAAGUAAGACACACCAACAAAUAUUGAAACUUCAUUUUAAGAUUAUUUUCUGUUCUUGUUUUCUCAAGGUGAUUUUUAAAAGACCUACAAAGAUUUCUAGGGCACAGAAAGUCAGACUACAGACCUCUUUUUCAAUGUAAUCCAGCAUCAAAGCAAGCGAAACAAAAUCCCUGUGAGUCAUGUUUGAUAUUUAAAAUUCCACUCUUAAUUUCAGCUAAGCUGAGGCAUGAACUUUAAGGAAUAUUUCAACACUGAAUAUCACAAAUCCUUUGAAUUUUAACCUCAGUGACCCCCUUUAUCCCUAGAGACUUUUAAAGCAAAGUGCUUUUUGAUUGAGUCUUAAUUUUUCUUGCCUCAAAGGAAAAAUUUUUAAAACUUUACUGAAAAACUGAAUUCACGUUUUAAGAUUUUGAUGCACAAAUUCUUUCUGGAGGAUAUGUAAGAACAAGUGAAAAAAAGGUUUUAAAACACAAACACUGUGGAAAUGUAGGUGUUAUUUAAAGACACUAAAACCAAGAUCAGGUGCAUUAUAUGAAAAACGACUUUAACUUUCAAACAUUGAAAAAUACUAAUCUUUUUGUGAGUUGUUUCCUAAAAGUCUGGAUUUUCCCUACCUUAAACUUUUCAAGGCAUAUCUACGGUGGCCCUUGAGGUCAAGUGCACAACCAUUUCAUGACCACAAAAAGCAUUUCAUAGAGUUUUGAAAAACAUUCUUCACAUUUUGUGAAUUAGUUUUGCAUUUUGUUAAAUAUAUUGUCGUGUUUUGUGAAAUGUUUUCUGGUUAGUAACUUUUUGAAUUACCAUUUUUUUGUGUUUUGUAAAGCGCUUUUACUUUCUGUAAAAUAUUUUUGUUUUGUAAAUUGUUCAUGGAUUUCAUGACACAUUUUUUUGUGCUCAUGAAAUGUUUGUGAAUGUUUAACGCUUUUAAAAAGAUUUUUUAAGACCUAGUGCGCAGUUAUGUAUAUAUAUUUUAGCUAGAACUAAAACUGCAGUUAAUUAAUACCAAAAAUUAAAAAAAAUUCAACAGUCAAGCCAAUACUCAGUCAUUUUGACAGUUAAAACUUUAAAAACUAUUUUAAAGCUGUUUGAGUCUUUUUUUUUAAAACAAAAAACUCUAAAGUACAAGUUUUCAUAAAUGCCAUGAAUGUUCAGUUUUAUCUUAAAAUACAGAGAAGUUUGGCAAGUUAAUGAGUGCACAGUUUUUUGUUAAUAUGUAACUGUAUAUGUAUGCAAAUUCUUCCACAUACACUUAAUCAUUAAAAAUCUAAAGCUUAUAUAUUUCUUUGGGAUUCUCCUUUUAAAAGCUUUAAAAUCAAACUUAUUUAUCUCUAAUUUCAGGAUGGAUUAGAUUACGAUCGAUAAAAUCCUCCGAGAAAAGUUCACUUAAUAUAACUUAAAUAAUGGCAUCCGCUCAUGUCUGUUAUACCGGAGGGAUUACUUCAUCAAAAUUCAACUUCUUGAAUAUAAUUACAGAUUCUGAGAUGAUAAAAUUAACCGGCACCAAUACUUCCUCAAUUUAACUUCUGGUAUUUUAACAUCUCUUAACUCUGCAUUGGUUUUUGUCGUAAAAAUCUGUAUAAUUGAGCUAAUGCUGUGUGAAUUAUGUAAGUCUAUAAAUGAUCAUAGAUUUUUCAAGAACACUUUUUUGGGACUCUUAUCAAACCAGUGGAUCCAAAACUAUAAGAAGAAAUAUAGAAACAUGGUCAUGAUAUUCUUUAAGAGCCUGGAGACACUUCUUGUCUCCUAAAUCUGUUUGGCCUAAAGCUUGUACGAGUUACGCUCGAUCUUUAAAAGGUUUAUUUAAGAUUAUACCAUUUCUGCAAAUUUUGCAGUGCAUGCAUCCUAAAGUGAAAGGUCACAAAGAGACGAAGGACGAUACUGCGUGUAAGAGGGAAGCUUUUACUUUCUGUUGCAUGGAGAACGAAGGGUUUCUGCAUCUUUGGGUUUCAUUUAAGAUAGAUUUAUUCAGGAUCAGACCCUGUGAGAGGCUGUCUCCAGAAGGAUAAACCCUGUGACCCCACAAAGGUCAAAAGGUGAGGGAGACUCCUUCUUUCCCUCCUCUUUCUGUACUCCUCUGUUUCUCCCUCCUCUGCCGCCUCCUUUCUUCGCUUGCUGCACGUUUGCCAGGCCUUCAUAAAGCAGCUCGAGGAGGGAGUUAGCUUUCCUCGCUCGUGUUGCCAACUCUUUCCCAUCAGUCCAGCCCCCUGGAAGACUCUGCAGACUCCCCACUCUCCCUCUCUCCCUCUCUCUCCCCCGGCCUAAAGCCGAGCCUGGGGCUGGGGGACGGGGUACAGGCCGUUGUGUUCGAGGUGGGGGCUCCCUCUGGAGAAGCUCUUUGCAGGCCUGGAUUUAGUCUGCACCUCCACGACAGCCACCAAGCAACACCCAGAGGAAGCGUUUGAGAUCGGCUUACAUAUGAAGCCUGGUUCAUCUCCUGAGUUUUAAAAUGAGGAUAGAAAGAAAGUGGGAGAUGGUGGAAAAGGAGGGGGAGACACAGAAGGGGAAAGACUUUGGAGAGCGAUGAGAGGUGGCGGGGAAGACGGAGACUCCAUAACCUUGGUGUCUCUGCAGAAUCAGACACAUUGGCUUCGUCUCUUUGGUUGGACACUUUCACUCAACCGUAACGACCGAUCAGACGAACAGACCGGGCUUUAAUGGAAGCUGAAGAGCUGAGAACUGAUAUCUGAUUGGCUGUCGGCCUCGUGGAACAACUGCUUAAUUGGUGGCGAAACUGGUGGCGAGCGCUGCAUCAAGACAAGACCCUGUCUGCAAGAUGACUAACAGAUGAGAGAUCGAAAUGAUUGGUGCAGGAUUCAUGAACAAAAAUAAGGGAAGCGAUUUCUAAUGUUGGAACUUUUCAUCAGUAUCGAGGAGGGCAGGGUCCUCUGUGCAAAAGGAACAAGGACCAAAACCAACGCUGGAUGGAUCUUACGGUCAGCACUGCAUUGAAAACAGACAGGACUCUGUAGUGGAAAUCACUGAUCACUUCCAAAAACCAUCAUCUGUGUCCACAGUUCAUCACUGCAUCCACAAAUGAGGUUGAAACUGAACCAUGCAAAGAAAUAAACAGAUAUAAACAUGAUCCAGAAGCACCAGAGACUUCUCUGAGACCUGAGGAAUCAAAAUCGGACAUUCUUACUGGUAAUCAUGGUCAUUGCGUCCUCCACUCUAAAGAACAGAGGGACCAUCUGGCUUGUUAUCAGCUCACAGUCCAAAGCCAGCAUCCCUGAUGGUAUGGGGCUCAGAAGUGUCCAUGGCAUGGGAAGCUUCCACAUCUGUGAAGGAGCAACAUCUGCUGACAUCCAGACAAUGACCUUUUCAGGGAAGACCUUCAUAUUUCAGCAAGGCAGUCAGUUCAUUUACAUGACACUCGAGAAUACCGAAUUAUUGCCUUAUUCCGAUUAAGACCGAACAACUGAAGUGCACGUAAACACCUUAGUCCGACUAUAAUCGGAGUUUGAGAACUCUGAUUAAGACACCCAGAUAAUGCGAUUGGAAUUCGAUUUUCUCUACCAUGUAACCAGCGUAGACGGAGUAUGAUCGGACAAUGCAUGUGUGUACGCCACACCCUUGUAACCCCGGAACAAAAACACCAGAGAAGAGGAGUAGUGUGCAUCUCAUCUUCAGAAAAAGUAGCCCGUUCAUCAUGUACAACAAAAACGACACUGUACGAUGCUCCAUCUUCUUGCUUGGAAAUGCCCAGCAGCAGUUGUAGACACUUCUGACGUCUGGCAUGGACCUGCUGCUGUUGUUGACCGUUGUAUGGGGUCGGAUACGCGCCGCUGAAAAGACCCAUAUCACCCACAAGUUUUAGGGAGAAGGACACGUUCGCAUCAAUAAUUCGUGGACAAGGAGACAAGUCCAAUUUGGCGGAAAGAACGAAUUAUGAGCUUUGUCCGAUCAAGCUGUGCAUGUAAACGCACUGAAUGACCGACCACAUUCUGCUGGGAUUACAACAGCGUGGCUCUGUAGUAGAAAAGUCCUGCCUUAUAACUUUUUGAGCAUCAUGACACAAAAAAAAACAGGACAAAGGAGACCCUGGACCAUUAAGAACACGAGGCUUUUGUAUUUUAAUAAAUGUUAGAGUAGAUGAAUUUUCCCCAGUAUGUUAAGAACGAAAGAAAAGAUCGCUUUAGACUCUAGAUGGUGUUUCAGUGAAGGUUACAGGGACUUCAGGUCGAGGAAGGGAGUGCUGGGAAUCCUGAGGAAAGGGUGAGGAUGGGUGAUGCAGGGGGGGAGGACGGGUGAGGCCAGGCGUGCCUUCCAUUCCUGCCUGCUCGGGGUGAGGCUAUUCCUAGAGUGUGGUGGAUGGCAGUUGAUGUGGGUUUCCUCUGAGCUGCCUGGAAGAUGACUGGCCCUGACCACAUCCACAUUCACACACGCACACACGUACACACACCAGACACACAGUGACAACUGUACAGCAAACACACACAUGCAGAAACAUACACACAUUCACAUGCAUAAACACACACGUUGUAAGGAGAGGAAAGAGGAACUGAAUCAUUACGCUGCCUCAGCCUCUAAGCUGGGGGUGACCACUGUACAACUAUUUGUGUGUGUGUGUGUAUGUGUGUGUCUGCAUGUGUGUGUGUGUGUGUGUGUGUGCAAAGAUACGUUGCAUUUCUGCAGUAAAGAGACAUCAGCUCUUUGGUUGUGUGUCUGGGCUGUUUGUUGCUCAAGUAUGUGUGGGCAUGUGUGUGUGGGCGGGUGUGUAGGAUGUGUGAGCUGGGUGUGGAUGCAUUCCCUCAAUGUGUGUGUGUGUGUGUGUGUGUGUGUGUGUGUGUGUGUGUGUGUGUGUGUGUGUGUGUUUGCCUCCCUCCAUCUGUAAAGCUUAGGACUCAGUGUGUUCGGUUAUUCUCCAGAAAAAAUAAACCUGGAAAUCUUACAGUGUUCAUUAAAAUUGGCUUCCUGAAUUUUUCAAAAUCCAUAUUUUGCAUGCAAACACAUUCUGCACAAAGUCUUUGAUUCACACGCAACUGCAAACGUGACGUGCAAAGUCCUUUUGAAUCAAGACAUACAGCGUUUGCGUGAACAUAAUGAGUGACAAUUAGCUUAAAUUUCCCUGCAUGUGCUUCAUUUAGUAUUCGAGAUUGGGUUUUGGUUAUAUUUCAGUAUUUAUUUCCAUCUAUAAACCGGCAUAUGUAGAGAAGUCCUCCCUUUCUGUCCUGUAACUCACAGGCAUGUAUUUCAAAAGGCUCUGCUGGUUGGAUUCACUUGUGCAUAAACUCAAGCUGAUUGUUGCCUUCUUGAACAAAAUAGAAUAUUCAUCUUUGUGCUUUCAUCUUAUGCUCAAAAAACAGUUUUCUUGCUGAUGUUGUUGCAUAAACUUGACCAGAAAGCAUUUAGAUCCCCUUAUUUCUCUAUCCACCCUCACCUGCAUUUCUAUAGAAUCUAUGAAGGAGACUUCUCAUUUUCUAAUCACUGAUAAAUCAUCUGUAUUUCAUGUGGAAUUUAAAAAAAAAACAUAUUUUUGCAACAUAAUGGUAUUCAGAUUCACCAAAAUUAAAGCUUUAUAUCAAACCAUGUCUGAGUGGGGAUAGACUUGAGUUUGGUUUCUCAUGAGUUAUUUUUCAGUCUGUUUUAAACUCGGAUCACAAAGAGAAAAGAACGUUUUGAAUUUCCUCUGACCUCACCCUGCUAUCAUGUCGAGUCCCACUAAGCAAAGGCUUCAGUUUCGAUGGAAAAAUCAGAUGAUAAAGUGACUUCAGGUACAUCUGAGCUCUCUGGCAGCAUCACCAAAGCGUGGAAAAAAAGACAGAGAUAAGACAUGGAAGACGUUAUCAGCUUAUCUGUCGCCCUGUGAGCUUAUUCAGGCUCGCCAGUCUGGACCUGUCAAUAUCACAGUCCCUCUCGAGGUGCCGAUGACAGCUAUGACAAACAGCUGGGAAUCCUGAUUUAACCUGUAUCACGAUAACACGACAAGUUUCUGACCUCCCGUUUUCUUUCUUUAUGUUUUUCAGGUCGUCUUUUGUGCACCAGCUCUUCCACAAAUACCACCCGUGUGCUUCUAAAUCUACACCAAGCAGAGGUAAGAAGUCGUCCCUCGAUUUCUGCAGUUUUCUUUUCAUCUCUCUUCUCUGACUCCCACACCUCCACCCUCUUUGUGCAAACUGUAUUCCCUGCAGCAGAGAACAGAGCCCGAGGCAACAUCCCUUUACACCUCUUCAUAUCCCCCUUCGUUUAAAGCUUCGGCAGAGAGAGAGAAGGACUGAUGAUAACUCUUAAAGUUCACAGGUCAAAUCAGUCAAUACGCUGUCAGAGGAAAGAGGGAAAAAGCACAAGUCACACAACCUCUUCAAACCUUUUUCUCCUUUCGUUUUGUUGAUCCAAAGCUGCAUCAUGGAAGCAAACAGUGUUCCUCAGGGUUGUUAGAAAAGUAUUGAAAUUGACGCGAGUUUAAAAAAGUUCAGACAAGACAGAUGUUGAAGAAAAAUAUUUGUAUUGCAAAGCUCUUUCCACUUUUUUGAUGAGUGAAAAAGACAGAUCUUCAUUUGUGUUUCUUAUCUGCCUUUGUUAGGG
rnacentral:lncRNA from 1 species